rnacentral:tRNA from 1 species
GCCCCCGUAGCUCAAUUGGAUAGAGCAGCAGCCUCCGGAGCUGAAGGUUGGGAGUUCGAACCUCCCCGGGGGUA